UUCUGAGGAGGAAACAGCAGAGACAACACAUUACCCGGGCCCAGGCACAGGUUCCAGCUGCCACGAGCAAGAGCACGACAGAGCAUGCACGGGCCUCAGAAACAGAAGAGGAGAAAUAACACCAAGCUUCUAACAGAAGCCUCACAGGAGAGCAAUGGUUUUGGGAACCCACCAGGGGAAGGGGCUGUCCUUGGCCUCUGCUCCAACCCCGACCCAGGCUGGCAGCCCAGGAAACACUGAGUGUCCGUCGUCUUCUCUCACUUUGGGCUGUGCCUGAGUUCUCAUUGCUUCAGCCUAAGCCCAGCCUUUAAGCUCAAAAAGAAUUCUUAAGACAAUAAGCAAACCUUACGAGGAUGCUCAGUCUUGGACAGUUUACUUUUCCAAAGAAAGUUCUCUGUCACAGAUUGAAAAGUGACUCAUAUAUCCUACAAAUAAGUAAUCCUCCUAAACCCCAGCAGUGGUGAAGCCUCUAAAAGGCCCGGGAAUCGGAUGGAACCACCUUAUCCUUUUUGAGAUCCUUCAUGAUCGCCUCACCUGUCUUCUCUUUACGUGAGACAAAGCUUCCUUAUCCUGACACAUCCUGAAAGUUUUAAAAUCUGCUCAGCUCUUCAAGGAAUGAAGAAACAGCCACAAAGAUGUGAGGCAGUCACCUUGUUUCUGAGCCUAGCUGAGGUAGGGACCCUGGUCCUCCUCUCCUUCUCUAUUUCCUGCUCAUCCAGGGAAGCCUGUCAAGCUGCCAUCUCACUGGGCUUCCCAAAAGUGAAGGAAACUGCCAUUGCCAGGCACCUUCAGUGGAAAGGGACAAUGGCCAGGAGUCAUUUUGUAAUGUAACUGCCCUAGGGGAAAUGCACUCGAGAUUCUUUCAGUACUUUAACAAUAAUAAUAAUAAAUCUGGAGAAAAUAAAAAUGAACCAUAGGGCUUUCUGAGAUGAACCUGGAUGGCGCCCCCCAGGGACCACCUGUGGAAUGGCUGCUUCUCCACAGGCCCUGCCAAGUCCAAGCUGAACAUUCAUCGAUUUCUGGCUGUGUGAGGUGGCUCACACCUGUAAUCCCAGCACUUUGGGAGGACAAGGAGGGAGGAUCACUUGAGGUCAGGAGUUCGAGACCAGCCUGGGCAACAGAGAGACUCCAUCUCUACAAAGAAUUUAAAAAAUAGCUGGGUGUGGUGGCAUGCAACUGUGGUCCCAGCUACUUGGAGGCUGAGGCAGGAGGAUGGCUUGAACUCAGGAGUCUGAGGGUGCAGCGAGCUAGGAUCGCACCAUUGCAUUCCACUCUGGGCAACAGAGCAAGACCCUGUCUCAAUAAACAAAACUCCCAAAACCCCUACAGUUUCCAAGAACAAUUUCAGUUACCUGGAGAAGAGGUAACUGUGGAAAAGUCCACUAAAAAAUGCUCCCACCUACAUGAGAACCAAAGAGGCAGCAUACAGCUCUUUUCUACCAUAAAACGUCCCUGGGUGCAAAAAAACAAUCCCCCCAUUAUUUCUCCUUUUCUCUUCCUGUCAGGAGCACGGGGUGUGUGCAGCAGAAAGCAGGCUGGCAGUGCGGUUAGUACAUACCAUGGCCUUGGACCUAGCCAGAGGGAAGCAAUGCAGGCGGCGGGAGAGGCAGAGGCAAGAGAGAAGCAGGGACAGAAACCAGACUUACUUUCAACAGAAGCAACAUGAGUGAAACAGUUUUGUUUAUCUUAAAUUACGGAAACAAACCCAAAUCCUUCCCCAACUUCCCCCUGAACGGAGGCAUAAUCUCCAAGCGAAGAAGGCAAUGCCCUUGAAUCUGUCCCUUCUCAGGUCUGCACCGCAGGGCGCCGAGUGAGGGCGGCUUCUCGGCAUUCCCUUCCCACCACAAGAUGGUCUCUCCUGGUUUCUGCAGCUGGGGUGAGACCCCUGGGGCACACGGGAGGCCAUCCUGUAUGUGCUGUGCUCUGUCUUUUCCUACACAUGCUAAGGACGAGUCCAAGAAAACGUAACUGUAAUCCCACACCUCAGCGCUGUCUGAAACCAAGGCCUCACCCAUUAAAUUAUCUUCUCUUAUCCCAAAGGCUGGCUGACAUCACACUUACUGACACAUAUUCAUCUCUGGAAAUGAAGCUGGAGAAAGAACAAAAGCCUUCACAAGGCACCCAUCGGAAGCUCCGAAAAGCCACUUUUCACCUAAGUGAGAAACCGCAGGCAGGAGAACUACUGGACUCCUCCCGUGCUCUCACCAGCUGUUGGUCUGGGAAGGCAGGCGGUGUGGCAAGCUGAGAAGUUUUAAAAUAAAGUUUUCCAGGGGUGUGCUUGGCUGGCUGGAAAGGAUAUGAGUAGGUACAGAAGACCCACGCCAGUAAGCAGCUGAGAGCCGGAUGGCGGCGUCAGAAACUGAGACAAGCACGCAGGCGUAAGAGGGGCGUGAGGGGCAGGGAUGGGGUACGCCAGGCGGGCGCAGCAUGGUGAAUACCAGGAUUCUGCUUCGGGCUGUCACUGUCUCAGCGGGGUAAAGAAGGAAACGCUGAGGUGCCUCUCAAACUGUCAAAUCAAACUGUCAAAUAAAACGCAGAUAACAGCAUCAACUUUAGUUUCUUUCACCUUUAUGGACCAAUUCCUAUCCCAUAAUUUUCUCACUGAAGCCUCAGGCCCCAACUCUGGGGCUGAAAAAAACACCAGGGUGACAGCAGAAGGGAAGGUCCUAUCUGUAAGUGACACAGCAGUUGUCUGAUGAUUCAACCUCUAGACAGUUGACACUGUUUCCACUAUCAUUUGUAUCUGCAGAAAACCAGGUUAGCCCCACAGUCUCAGUUAUGAGGACACAGAAGUACCAGGGAGAGUCAUUUUGAGGUUGUUUAUAUAAUAUAAAAACACUUAAAACUGUUCCUGAAGACGGGACACAGAUACACAGUGAUGUGAGGAGGACGAGGAGAAUGAAACAGCAGCCUCGCGAGUUCCCCCACACAACUGUGCCCCAGACCAGGUCCUGCGCCAUGGGAGGAUCAGCGGCAGACCUUCCCCUUCCACUUUUGGGGACAGCCCAAAAUUCACAGGCUGGCAUUUUGGCCAUCGAGAACAGGUGCCACCAGAGGUGAGUCUGAUUUUCCUGUAGGUACUGAGUGGGAUCAUGACAUCAGUGGUGCCUCAGAGCUAACAGCUUGCAGAGUUGUGUAGGGAACAUGGGGUUAGAGGGGACACCCUGCCAACAUGCGCAAAAUGACAAGUGAACACACGAAAACAUACAACAUUUACAAUCGCCAUUGGAAAUGCAAACAAUAAAGGUUGUUUGUUCACACAAACAUCCUGUCAGAGCCCAGGGGUCUGUCUUUUGACUGCUGAACUCCUCAUCAGCAAAUGGAAAAUGGAAUUUGUAAACCACACAACACAGGUUCUGUCUGAGGGGGUCUAAGCAUCAUUAUCCAGGACAGAGCCUAUAAAACAGCCAAUCAUUCCAGAACCUCAGCUGAGAGCCAGCCGUAUCUGGGCCCGAGUCAAAAAGUGACCCUGGCAACGACUCUUUUCACAGUCUCUUAGGAAACUCUCCUAAGCCCGGGGCACAGGGCAGCUAAAGGUUCUUCCUCUCUGAAGACUUAAUAUGGUUAUUAAAUUCUGAUCCCAACCAAUCUCUCUUCUUAAGGCUUUUCAUGACAUGUUGAGUAUGCCAAUUAUUAAUGUUUGAUUUUUCUAAAUUUUCCAAGAAGUUGCCUUACAGCGCAGUGCACGGCGAGGCUGCGUACACGGAGCCCAUCCAUCAAUGCUAACUCUCGCAAGGGAAUCGCUGGAAACAUUCUCAUGCUCUUGGCUCAAUCAAGAUGGUUCUUUUCAAAGUGUCUAAGCUGUAAUUCUUUGACAACUCUGUGACUUUCUCAGGCUUUCAGCAAAACACUACUAAAAUUCAAGGGAAACCACAACUCAAAAGGCCUUCCCGCUCCUUUGGCACAGAGCACCCCCAAGUCCUGCAAGCCAUCAAAAGAUUCAGCUUGCAAACCCAGGCUCUGUCUGGAGAGGGAGAGGGAGAGCACACUUGCUGGCUGGGAGUAGCUAGGAAGCUACAAGAACACACAGAGGGCGUCCAUAUCAACGCAGCUGCCCAGGGACAGAAGAGAAUGAUGGUGCGGUGGGUGCUCAGAACCCAGUGGACACUCAAUCCAUGUAACAGAGUGAUGCACACUCGCAGGAGGUGUGAGCUUCUCUCUGGACCCUGUGUCUUCCUAGGUAAGGCUCCCAGACAACCAUGCACCAUGAGAAUAUACCACUGUUUUCCUUCUAGUUGGGUAGGAAACAAGCAGGACCUUCCCCAGUGGGUGAGAGGCCUGUUCCAGGUGUGAGUGACAGAGUUGUGGAGACGGCCCAUCCUUAGCUGUCAGGACUCAGGGUGCAGGGGGAGGGAGUUGAAAGCUGCUCCAGUCAACUCUGGCUUCCAGGAGUGGGGUGGGGAGAACCGAGGUCCCUGCCUGGGUGGCUGGUUGGCCUGUAUCUGCUCACAGUGGCAGCAGGGAGGCGCACAGAGCUGGAUUUCCCGCCCAGCGUCACUGGCUCAGGCCGGGAGAGCCGCUGUGGGGUGUGCUGCCCUCGCGCUGGUUCAAUGUUUUUUCCUUUUGAUUCGAUUCAUUUACUCUCAUGUCACUUUUCAUUUUAAUUUGUUGUGUUUAUGUAUUUAGGAAAGCUGCCUUAGGAAACAUUUUGGAAGAAGACUGAGAAAAUAAGGCCAUCAUUGUCACUGACAUCUCAUAAAAUGUUACCGACCCUGAAAAAUGAAUUAUGUAUUUUUUCCCUUGGUUCUAUAGCUUUAAAAGCCCCAACUAUCUUUUAUAAAACACUAAUUUUUUAAAACUGAAA